rnacentral:rRNA from 1 species
GAUGAACGCUAGCUACAGGCUUAACACAUGCAAGUCGAGGGGUAACAAGAGAAAAGCUUGCUUUUCUUGUUGACGACCGGCGCACGGGUGAGUAACGCGUAUCCAACCUGCCUAUAACUAGGGAAUAACCUUGCGAAAGUAAGACUAAUACCCUAUGAUUUCCUUUGAUGACAUCAGAUUAGGAAUAAAGAUUUAUCGGCUAUAGAUGGGGAUGCGUCUGAUUAGCUUGUUGGCGGGGUAACGGCCCACCAAGGCAACGAUCAGUAGGGGUUCUCAGAGGAAGGUCCCCCACAUUGGAACUGAGACGCGGUCCACACGCCUACGGGAGGCAGCAGUGAGGAAUAUUGGUCAAUGGGCGGAAGCCUGAACCAGCCAAGUAGCGUGCAGGAUGACGGCCCUAUGGGUUGUAAACUGCUUUUAUACAGGAAUAAAGUUAGCCACGUGUGGUUAGUUGUAGGUACUGUAUGAAUAAGGACCGGCUAAUUCCGUGCCAGCCGCCGCGGUAA